rnacentral:lncRNA from 1 species
CCUGAGUCUCUUCCUUCUCCAUGUCUCUCUUUGGAGAGAGAAAAUGAAAGCACAAGUAUGCUGUUCAAAUUCAUCAUCAGCUACCUGUUGAACCACUUUCACAAUAAGGUAAUCACCCUCUACUUUGUUAUAUCCAAAGCCAUACAGCUGUCCAGAGGCCUGUGGACACUCAUCUGCAAUCCUCCUGCAGGUUUGAUUGAUUGGAUUGAGCAUGUAAAGGUAGUCCUGGUUCUUUCCCUCACUACAAAUCAGCACAAUGUCAAGGACAGAACCUAUGAUGCGAGGAGAAUCCACCGACAGCAGAGGAGCAACAUAUGUCUCGGUGGUGAUAGUCUGCUCAUCAUCCACCUUCAACGUCAGAACAUCAGCAGGAUUUGUGUAAUUUGCAUGCACACAAACUUUUGUCUUUGUUCCAUGCUCUGCUUUAACCCUUCUCACAAAGUUUACAUCUUUGAUCUUCUGGCACCAGGCUUUGCACACAAGUUUACAUUGAUUGAUAUCAGGGAUGGGGAGGCGGAUGAUUAUCUCCUCAAAUACAGAAGCGUGAAGCUUUUGAAUUGUACAUUUCGUCUGAAAAUAAUAAGCAGGCAAGAUUUAAUUAAUUUCAAAGUCAUCAUUGCUUAUAAAUAAAGGAGGAGCUUUAAACUAUUUCGAACACUUUGAUCAGUGUGAUCCACACAAACAGAGUCAUCGAUUCGGUCAUAAUCUUGAAAGAAGAGUCAGACAGAGUGAAUGAGUCUUAUCGCUUGCGACAUUUUCUGAUAAAAAAAGACUAGUUGUUUAAGCAGGAAAGCAAACACAAUUGAUUAAAAAACGCAUCUUUCUUGGAACCCUCGUAGUGCUCUUUUUCGAUUCUAUUAUUGUGAAGUGAAAACUGUUAACACUUUCAGACCAAGACCCCAAGCAACACAAUCAGAAGAAAAGUUAUAAUCUUUACCACACAAAAAAACCAUAAACCCAGAAACCCACAAAGUGAAAAACCCCAGUUUCCCCAAUUUGAAAAACCCUAGUAUCGAUCCCCAAUCUUAAAAAACCCAAUUGGGUCACCCAUAACCGAGACCCCAAGCAACACAAUCGGACAAAAAGUUCUUAGCUUUACACUGAAAGGAACCCAAAACCCAGAAACCCCCAAAUGAAAAACCCUAGUUUCCUCAAUCGAGAAAACCCCAGGAAAUGCGAAAUUGGGUCACAAAAUUGGAUUAGAUAAUUCAUACAUAACAUGUACCCAGAUUAAGAAAAGCAACCAAUUCAAGAAUACAAGAAUCACAAACCCAGAAACAGGAAUACGAAUUACAUUAACAUUGAAUUCAAGGACACGAACCUUAGGAGAGUUGGCUGCUUUUGAUUCUUCCAUACUUGCAAUCUUGAGCCCAGUGAGAAUUGGGAAGGCUUUCUUUCUCUAAGCUUUGAAAGAAGAAGUGACGUAGUCAAGGGGGGAGAGAAAAAUGUGAGAGAAUUUUUGAAUCAGAGAAAAGUGGGAGAAUGAAUUAUGAAAAUGGUGACAAAUAUAGGUUUUUAGGCUCUGCUAUGUGCACGUGUUCCAACGGGAAAAUGUAGCCGUUAGCUUCAAAUAGAAUUUCAUCUAUUUAUUUAACCAUGUAUAUAUAUU